UACGUAGGGUUCAAGCGUUAUCCGGAAUCACUGGGCGUAAAGCGUGCGUAGGUGGCGUGUUAAGUGCAAUGCGAAAUCCUGUGGCUCAACCAUAUGGACUGUAUUGCAUACUGGCAUGCUAGAGGACGGCAGAGGCAAGUGGAAUUACCGGUGUAGCAGUGAAAUGCGUAGAGAUCGGUAGGAACACCAAUGGCGAAGGCAGCUUGCUGGGCCGACCCUGACGCUAAGGCACGAAAGCGUGGGGAGCGAACAGG
rnacentral:rRNA from 1 species